rnacentral:lncRNA from 1 species
GAUCUGAAGCUAUUGCCUAGACCGAGCCCCCCCAAUCCCCUCCCACCCCCUGUGAAGGACUGUUUGGGCUUAACCCAGAACAGCUGAGAUACGUGACGGAGUGGGGGUGGGGGGUGUUUUGUUUGUCUAAACCACAGUUCAGUGUAUUAUGUACUCUAGGAGGGGGAAAAGUGGAUGAGCAGUUGUGCUCAAAAGCAUUUAUGCUUUUAGAGUUGUUUGUGGGUUGUUUYUAAAACUCUUUGGUAUUUUCACACGAGUCCUCCAAAUCAUCCCCGUGUCUUCAGGCAGGGAGCAGCUGAAGAGGUUUCCCCAGCCAGACCACAGCCCUUCAGAAGCUGAAGGGGGUCAGAGCUUGCAAAGUAGUCCCGAGCCUGGGUUUUGUUGUUCUCGGGUUUUUUUUGCUUGUUUGCAAGUUUGAGGGAAAGGGGGAAAAAACAGUGGAUGUCCUGUUUAGCAACUAGUAAUGUUAUUUGGCAUAGGGUUUAGGUUUAGUUGUGAUUGUCAGCUGGUUAAGUUUUCUGUAUCUUUCUUUUUUCUUUUUUUUUCCCCCUCUCUUUCUCUUUUUGUCUCAAGUAUGUGGAAGGCUCAUUUGAGAAGUACCUGGAACGACUGGGAGAUCCAAAGGAAAGUGCUGGCCAGCUGGAAAUAAGUGCUCUAUCAGUAAUCUACAAUGGUUGAAGGAUGGAGAAGAGGUGAAACAACUAGAAGCUGUGUAUAGUGGAAACGCCGUGUGGUAGUUAUAAGCAUGGCUAAAACUCGCAUGUGCGUUCUUGAAAGCUCUAGUAGUGAGGACUGCUUGGUGUGUAAACUCUGAAAUUUGUUUGAAACGUAACAUAAGCUUGCUGCAGGUGCUGGCUGUCUUGCUAAAAAUGCUGCUUUUUGCUGAACAAACAGUCUGACUCUCCAGUGGUAGAAAGAACAACCCUCCCUUUGCAAACUGGAUCUGUUCCAGUACUAAAUGAACAAAUUGGACCUUCCCAAGWGUUGCUAGCUUCCUCUACUGAGGCUCUAAUCCUUUCACAGGAGACUAAAUCUCUUAACCUUAACUGUCCCACUGGCUGAGCAGCCUGUCAUAAGUAUAAAUAUCUGAACUAAUAUAACGCAUGCUUUUGUUGUCUGUGACUGGAUGUAACUGACUUUCUCGGACACCUCUCUUUCCAAGAUGAGUGUAGUUUGCUCAUCUAGCUAUUGCUUUAUGAUAGCAUUAAUUUAUCAGAGAAAGUAUUYUGCUUGCUUUCUAUAAACCAACAGUGGAUUCUCCAAACAGCUCCUUUCAAACUUCUUCAUAACAUGGUUCUACUGAAAGUGCAGUCUUUCAAGUCUUGUUUUUCCUCUGCUUACCUAGUCGAGACUUUAUUCUGUACCGGUACCCUGGAAAGCCACCCACUUAUGCUACAGACAAUGGCUUUGAAGACAAGGUGAGGAGAAGUGAGGCGCCUUCCGACCCCUUCCCUGACUCCUCGGAGUCUGUAUCGCUUGCGUACCUGAACAGAGCUCCAGAGCUGGCUUCAGCUCAGGGAUAAGCAGGCUAUUUGCACAACAGUUAAUCAAAUUACAGUAGUUUCCCAUUCCAUCUGAGGAACGGCUUGUGUGCUGUUGCCCUGCCAAUUUUGUUUGUUAUUCAAGUUCAUUAUUGGAAACAAGUUUAAUUUUGGCAGGAAGAGGGAGCUU